rnacentral:rRNA from 1 species
UACCACUUGGAAACAGGUGCUAAUACCGGAUGACAACAUGAAUCGCAUGAUUCAAGUUUGAAGGCGGCGCAAGCUGUCACUUUAGGAUGAGCCCGCGGCGCAUUAGCUAGUUGGUGGGGUAAAGGCCUACCAAGGCAAUGAUGCGUAGCCGAGUUGAGAGACUGAUCGGCCACAUUGGGACUGAGACACGGCCCAAACUCCUACGGGAGGCAGCAGCA